rnacentral:rRNA from 1 species
GAUGAACGCUGGCGGCGUGCCUAAUACAUGCAAGUCGAGCGAACAGACGAGGAGCUUGCUCCUCUGACGUUAUCGGCGGACGUGUGAGUAACACGUGUAUAACCUACCUAUAUUACUUGGAUAACUUCGUGAAACCGGAUCUAAUACCGGAUAAUAUAUUGAACCGCAUGGUUCAAUAGUGAAAUACGUUUUUGCUGUCUCUUAUAGAUGGAUCCGCGCCGCAUUAGCUAGUUGGUAAGGUAACGGCUUACCAAGGCAACGAUGCUUAUCCGACCUGAGAGGGUGAGCGGCCACACUGGAACUGAGACACGGUCAAGACUACUACGGGAGGCAGCAGUAGGGAAUCUUCCGCAAUGGGCGAAAGCAUGACGGAGCAACGCCGCGUGAGUGAUGAAGGUCUUCGGAUCGUAAAACUCUGUUAUUAGGGAAGAAAAAAUGUGUAAGUAACUAUGCACGUCGUGACGGUAACUAAUCAGAAAGCCACGGCUAACUACGUG